GAGUUUGCCUGAGGUACCAUCAUCACAGUCCCAUCCUUGAGCCCUCUGAAAGAGCUGCUCUUUCUCAUCCCAUUCCUCUCUAGGAAGAAGAUCCUCCUGCAGAAGAAUGGAGUUGUGGGCAGCAGUGGAUUCAGUAUUCAAGGCACUGGGUUGUUUUCUGGGGCCAGAGUCAAAUCCAUGAAACUUAAGGAAUUCCUCUUCUGGAGCUGUAUGGACACAUGUAACUUGAGUGCAUGUCCGCUCAUAAAUACCAGUACGUAUGUUCCUAGUUGCUGACACUGUGUCCUUAAUUUCCUCAUACUUCUCCCAGCUCCCUGGCUCAUCAUAUUCUUGCCUCUGCUUUAAUUUCCUUCCCCUUCUCUUGUCUUAGUGAUGACAGGUCAGAAAUCUGGAUGGAGCAGAAGCACAGGACUCUUGAAGGACUCCAGUAAAAAAUGUCAUGACUCUUUUGGAUCUGCUGAGGCUCAGCAGAUGUGAGGGAGAGUCCCCAUGGGAGCAUAUGCAAAAACUCUACACUAGUUUCCUGUUCCCUCCCUAGGCUUCUUCAUGGGAAUCCAGGCUCCUGGGUCUUGCUCAGUGAAUGUAUGAAGAAAAUUCAACAGUGACUUCAACAGUCCUGAGGUUACCUAAGGGAGGGGUCAGCAACAGUGUUAAGAAGAUAUAGAACAGGUGUUCCUUACCCCUGUGCCUGUUUGCCCAC
rnacentral:lncRNA from 1 species